UACGUAGGGUGCAAGCGUUGUCCGGAAUCAUUGGGCGUAAAGCGCGCGUAGGCGGCCCGAUCAGCCCGCUGUAAAAGUCCAGGGCUCAACCCUGGAAAGCCGGUGGAUACUGUCGGGCUAGAGUCCGGAAGAGGCGAGUGGAAUUCCUGGUGUAGCGGUGGAAUGCGCAGAUAUCAGGAGGAACACCGAUAGCGAAGGCAGCUCGCUGGGACGGUACUGACGCUGAGGUGCGAAAGCGUGGGGAGCGAACAGG
rnacentral:rRNA from 1 species